GAGGGUUCGAUUUGCCCAGAUUGAACGCUGGCGGGAUGCUUUACAAUAUGCAAGUCGAACGGGCAGCACGGACUUCGGUCUGGUGGCGAGGGCGAACGGGUGAGUAAUGUAUCGGAACGUGCCUAGUAGCGGGGGAUAACUACGCGAAAGCGUAGCUAAUACCGUAUACGCCCUUCGGGGAAAGCGGGGACCUUCGGGCCUCGCACUAUUAGAGCGGCCGAUAUCGGAUUAGCUAGUUGGUGGGGUAACGGCUCACCAAGGGCGACGAGAUCCGUAGCUGGUUUGAGAGGACGACCAGCCACACUGGGACUGAGACACGGCCCAGACUCCUACGGGAGGCAGUGGGGAAUUUUGGAUAAUGGGGAAACCCCUGAUCCAGCCAUCCCGCGUGCGAUGAAGGUCUUCGGGUUGUAAAGCACUUUUGGCAGGAAAGAAACGGCACGGGAUAGCACCGUGCAACUGACGGUACCUGCAGAAUAAGCACCGGUUAACUACGUGCCACAGCAGCCGCGGUAAUGUAGGGUGCAAGCGUUAAUCGGAAUUACUGGGCGUAAAGCGUGCGCAGGCGGUUCGGAAAGAAAGAUAAACCUAAGAGCUUAACUUUGAACUGCAUUUAAUCACCGAGCUAGAGUGUGUCAGAGGGAGGUGGAAUUCCGCGUGUAGCAGUGAAAUGCGUAGAUAUGAGUGAACACCGAUGGCGAAGGCAGCCUCCUGGGAUAACACUGACGUCGGCGCACGAAAGCGUGGGGAGCAAACAGGAUUAGAUACCCCGGUAGUCCACGCCCUAAACGAUGUCAACUAGCUGUUGGGGCCUCGGGCCCAGCGCAGCGCCAACGCGGUGAAGUUGACCGCCUGGGGAGUACGGUCGCAAGAUUAAACCAGUAGAAUUACGGUGACCUUCGCACAGCAAGGAUGAUGGACGGAUUUCAUACAACAUGAAAACCUUACUUUACUUACAUGUCUGAAUCCAUUUUGAUGCGUUCGCAGGACCGAACACAGGAAGCUGCAGUUGCUGCGAUUGCCAAAACGUGAGAUGUUGGUUGUCCGCAACGAGCAACCGUCAUUAGUUGCGACGAGUGGCUACUUCCAUGGACUGCCGGUAGCAACAGGAAGGUGGGGAUGACGUCAAGUCCUCAUGGCCCUUAUGGGUAGGCUUCACACGUCAUACAAUGGUCGGGACAGAGGGUCGCCAACCCGCGAGGGGGAGCCAAUCCCAGAAACCCGAUCGUAGUCCGGAUCGCAGUCUGCAACUCGACUGCGUGAAGUCGGAAUCGCUAGUAAUCGCGGAUCAGCAUGUCGCGGUGAAUACGUUCCCGGGUCUUGUACACACCGCCUGUCACACCAUGGGAGUGGGUUUUACCAGGCGGUUAGCCUAACCGUAAGGAGGGCGAUUACCACGGUAGGAUUCAUGACUGGGGUGAAGUCGUAACAAGGU
rnacentral:rRNA from 1 species